rnacentral:rRNA from 1 species
GACGUAGGGGACGAGCGUUGUCCGGAUUCAUUGGGCGUAAAGCGCGCGUAGGCGGUUACGCAAGUCGGUUGUGAAAAUCCGGGGCUCAACCCCGGACCUGCAUCCGAUACUGCGUGACUAGAGGUAGGUAGGGGAGAUCGGAAUUCCUGGUGUAGCGGCGAAAUGCGCAGAUAUCAGGAAGAACACCCGUGGCGAAGGCGGUUCUCUGGGACGGUACUGACGCUGAGGAGCGAAAGCGUGGGGAGCGAACAGG